GACAGAAUGUAGUAUGUGGUAUAUGUUCUAUUUUUAAAAGGUGAAUAUAGUAUGUGUAUAUAUUCCAUUUUUCAAGGUAGCAUGCUGUAUACAGUAUGAAGUGUAUGCAAGAAAAAUAGUAUCUCAGCAUCAGCAGUUCAAUAAUAAUAGAUCAUUUUUAUAAGAGGAUCGAUCAGUAUAGCAAAUAGAGAAGGAUCGAUUGGGCUAUUUACAGAAGAAGAAGAAGAAGAAGAAGAAAAGAUGCAUUGCCCCAACACAACAGCAGCCAUGCAUGCAACCACUAGCUACGUAUAGUACUAGUAAUCGCUAUUCUCUAGUCUGCUCAGAUAUCUCAUGGAUCCUUCAUACAGCGAUAGCAUCUUGAAUUGCAGCUUGACAGAGAAAGACAAUAAAGCAUCCAAAUCUUCCAAUCCAUUAACACAACAACAAGAUUAAUUAGAAAUACCCGUCGAUCAGUCUGCAAUCGAUCCAUGCAACAGGAAGGUCGGUCUGGGAUCGAUUAUUUCCUCGAGGAUCUGCAGACUGCGGCACGUAUCGGCGCCGCACGACACGACAUGGCCGCGUUGGUAAACGGCGGCCAGGGAACCGGUGGCCGGCGUUGACGUCGCUCGGUGGAAAUCAGCAGGCAGAAUAUGGACGCCUAAAAGAUCUCAACGCAAUUAAGAAAUAAGAUAGAUGGUAAUUAAUUAUGGAUCGGGUUGCCAGCAUGGAAGCUAUUCCUGAUUUUUAGAUCCGAUACGGCAGGCAAACAACCUAAUGGAGCCCCGUUAGAAACACUACACGGGAGGCAGUAACUACACCCGGGAGUAUCAUGUAAACUAGACGGUACCCAAAACUCCACUAAGACCAAACGGAGUAUCAGAGAGAAGGGCGUUUUCGAAUUUUCACAUUAGUUAUAGAAAUAAAAAAAAAUCAGAAUUCUGUUCCCCUCUCUCUUUCUCUCCUGAUUCAGGCAACCGCUGGCCUCCCAGCGCCAAGCCGCUGCCGCUUGCCUCGCAUCCCGCGCUGCCGCCGGCGGCCUCCCAAGCCAAAGCCGUCGCCAGCCUCCAAGCACGCCUACGCCGGCCUUCCAGCCUGGGCCGCCGUCGCCGGCGUCCCCGCGCAAAUCCGCCGCCCAACUUCCAGCGCGCUUCCGCCGGCCUUCCAGUUUGACCCGCCGUCGCCGCCAUCGGCCACCCAGUGCGCGCCUGCGCUGCCGUUCCAGCCCACGCCGCUGCCGUCGGAACUUUUCUCUGAGUC
rnacentral:lncRNA from 1 species